rnacentral:rRNA from 1 species
GACGAACGCUGGCGGCGUGCUUAACACAUGCAAGUCGAACGGAAAGGCCCUGCUUUUGUGGGGUGCUCGAGUGGCGAACGGGUGAGUAACACGUGAGUAACCUGCCCUUGACUUUGGGAUAACUUCAGGAAGCUGGGGCUAAUACCGGAUAGGAGCUCCUGCUGCAUGGUGGGGGUUGGAAAGUUUCGGCGGUUGGGGGUGGACUCGCGGCUUAUCAGCUUGUUGGUGGGGUAGUGGCUUACCAAGGCUUUGACGGGUAGCCGGCCUGAGAGGGUGACCGGCCACAUUGGGACUGAGAUACGGCCCAGACUCCUACGGGAGGCAGCAGUGGGGAAUAUUGCACAAUGGGCGGAAGCCUGAUGCAGCAACGCCGCGUGCGGGAUGACGGCCUUCGGGUUGUAAACCGCUUUCGCCUGUGACGAAGCGUGAGUGACGGUAAUGGGUAAAGAAGCACCGGCUAACUACGUG